rnacentral:rRNA from 1 species
CCUACGGGAGGCAGCAGUGGGGGAUAUUGCACAAUGGGGGGAACCCUGAUGCAGCGACGCCGCGUGAGCGAUGGAGUACUUCAGUAUGUAAAGCUCUUUCAGCAGGGAAGAAAAUGACGGUACCUGACCAAGAAGCCCCGGCUAAAUACGUGCCAGCAGCCGCUGUAAUACGUAUGGGGCAAGCGUUAUCCGGAGUUACUGGGUGUUAAGGGAGCGUAGGCGGCAGGGCAAGCCUGAUGUGAAAGGCCGGGGCUCAACCCCGGGCCUGCAUUGGCAACUGCCCUGCUGGAGUGCCGGAGGGGCAGGCGGAAUGCGUAGUGUAGCGGUGAAAUGCGUAGAUAUUAGGCGGAACACCAGUGGCGAAGGCGGCAUGCUGGACGGUGACUGACGCUGAGGCUCGAAAGCGUGGGGAGCAAACAGGAUUAGAUACCCGGGUAGUC